GAUGAAGAACGCAGCGAAAUGCGAUAAGUAAUGUGAAUUGCAGAAUUCAGUGAAUCAUCGAAUCUUUGAACGCACAUUGCGCCUGCUAGUAAUCUGGCGGGCAUGCCUGUCCGAGCGUCAUUUCAACCCUCAAGCCCCCGGGCUUGGUGUUGGGGAUCGGCGAGCCUCCGCGCCCGCCGUCCCCUAAAUCUAGUGGCGGUCUCGCUGUAGCUUCCUCUGCGUAGUAGCACACCUCGCACUGGGAAACAGCGCGGCCACGCCGUUAAACCCCCAACUUCUGAACGUUUGACCUCGGAUCAGGUAGGAAUACCCGCUGAACUUAAGCAUAUCAAUAAGCGGAGGA
rnacentral:misc_RNA from 1 species